GUGUGGCUCAGUGGUAGAGCAUGGGCUUACCAUGCAUGCACAGGACCCUGGGUUCAGUUCCCAGCAC
rnacentral:tRNA from 1 species